rnacentral:rRNA from 1 species
UUUGCAUAUUCCAAUAGCGGAGGAAAAGAAACCAACCGGGAUUGCCUUAGUAACGGCGAGUGAAGCGGCAAAAGCUCAAAUUUGAAAUCUGGUACCUUCGGUGCCCGAGUUGUAAUUUGGAGAGGGCAACUUUGGGGCCGUUCCUUGUCUAUGUUCCUUGGAACAGGACGUCAUAGAGGGUGAGAAUCCCGUGUGGCGAGGAGUGCGGUUCUUUGUAAAGUGCCUUCGAAGAGUCGAGUUGUUUGGGAAUGCAGCUCUAAGUGGGUGGUAAAUUCCAUCUAAAGCUAAAUAUUGGCGAGAGACCGAUAGCGAACAAGUACAGUGAUGGAAAGAUGAAAAGAACUUUGAAAAGAGAGUGAAAAAGUACGUGAAAUUGUUGAAAGGGAAGGGCAUUUGAUCAGACAUGGUGUUUUGUGCCCUCUGCUCCUUGUGGGUAGGGGAAUCUCGCAUUUCACUGGGCCAGCAUCAGUUUUGGUGGCAGGAUAAAUCCAUAGGAAUGUAGCUUGCCUCGGUAAGUAUUAUAGCCUGUGGGAAUACUGCCAGCUGGGACUGAGGACUGCGACGUAAGUCAAGGAUGCUGGCAUAAUGGUUAUAUGCCGCCCGUCUUGAAACACGGGACCAA